rnacentral:rRNA from 1 species
GUGAGGAAUAUUGGUCAAUGGGCGAGAGCCUGAACCAGCCAAGUAGCGUGCAGGAUGACGGCCCUAUGGGUUGUAAACUGCUUUUAUACAGGGAUAAAGUGCGCCACGUGUGGCGUUUUGUAGGUACUGUAUGAAUAAGGACCGGCUAAUUCCGUGCCAGCAGCCGCGGUAAUACGGAAGGUCCGGGCGUUAUCCGGAUUUAUUGGGUUUAAAGGGAGCGCAGGCCGACUGGUAAGCGUGACGUGAAAUGUAGCCGCUCAACGGCUGAACUGCGUCGCGAACUGUCAGUCUUGAGUGAGUUCGAUGUUGGCGGAAUUCGUGGUGUAGCGGUGAAAUGCUUAGAUAUCACGAAGAACUCCGAUUGCGAAGGCAGCCAACAAGGCCUUUACUGACGCUAAAGCUCGAAGGUGCGGGUAUCGAACAGG